UACGUAGGGUGCAAGCGUUGUCCGGAAUUACUGGGCGUAAAGAGCUCGUAGGCGGUUUGUCGCGUCGUCUGUGAAAACUCGAGGCUCAACCUCGAGCUUGCAGGCGAUACGGGCAGACUUGAGUACUGCAGGGGAGACUGGAAUUCCUGGUGUAGCGGUGAAAUGCGCAGAUAUCAGGAGGAACACCGGUGGCGAAGGCGGGUCUCUGGGCAGUAACUGACGCUGAGGAGCGAAAGCGUGGGUAGCGAGCAGG
rnacentral:rRNA from 1 species